rnacentral:rRNA from 1 species
AUACAGAGGGUGCGAGCGUUAAUCGGAAUUACUGGGCGUAAAGCGCGCGUAGGCGGCUUGGUCAGUCGGAUGUGAAAGCCCCGGGCUCAACCUGGGAAUGGCAUUCGAUACUGCCAGGCUAGAGUAUGGGAGAGGGAAGUGGAAUUUCCGGUGUAGCGGUGAAAUGCGUAUAUAUCGGAAGGAACACCAGUGGCGAAGGCGACUUCCUGGCCCAAUACUGACGCUGAGGUGCGAAAGCGUGGGGAGCGAACAGGAUUAGAUACCCUAGUAGUCC